rnacentral:lncRNA from 1 species
UUGGCUUCCACCUCAGCAGAAGCUGAAUUAUCUUCUACUCACCCGAUCAGGUUGGGUUUGGCUUUGAACUUCUCUGUGUUCUAUUACGAGAUCAUGAACUCUCCUGAAAGGUAUUUUUUAAUCUUCUUCUCUAUACACUUGCUACAAAAUAUUUGCUAAACAAGCUUUUGAUGAAGCUAUCUCAGAGCUUGAUUCCUUGAGCGAGGAAUCGUACAAAGAUAGCACUUUAAUUAUGCAGCUCUUGAGGGACAACCUCACUUUGUGGACUUCCGACAUUCUAGAGGAUGGAGAAGAUGAAAAGAUGGAGAUCACCAAAUCUGGUGCGGAAGAGAUUGUAUGACGACAGCGGCCUAGCUCUGGUAAGAAAUGAUGAUGUAUGUUAUUUGUAAGCUUGAUUUCUAAAGCAGUGAUUGAGAUGAAUGAUUUUAAGUUGUAUUUGUUUGAACGGUUUUAGGUCACUUAUUC